rnacentral:rRNA from 1 species
GACGAACGCUGGCGGCGUGCUUAACACAUGCAAGUCGAACGGAAAGGCCCUGCUUUUGGCGGGUUCUCGAUUGGCGAACGAGUGAGUAACACGUGAGUAACCUGCCCUUGACUUUGUGAUAACUACAUUAAACUGGAGCUAAUACCGGAUAGUAGCUCCUACUGCAUGGUGGGGGAUGGAAAGUUUCGGCUGUGGGGGAUCGAUUCGCGGCUUAUCAGCUUGUUGGUGGGGUAGUGGCUUACCAAGGCUUUGACGGGUAGCCGGCCUGAGAGGGUGACCAGGCACCUUGGGACUGCGAUACGGCCCAGAAUCCUACGGGAGGCAGUAGUGGAGAAUAUUGUAGAAUGGGCGGAAGCCUGAUGCAGAAACGCCGCGUGCGGGAAGACGGCCUUUGGGUUGUAAACCGCUUUCGCAUGUGACGAAGCGUGAGUGACGGUAAUGGGUAAAGAAGCAACGGCUAAAUACGUG